ACCUUCAUUACAAAUAGAGAGCUGUUGGUACCAAGGCUGUCUUCCUACACCGCCUCAGAGUCAUCAAAGUGGCGAGCUGACAUCCUCUCCAGGACCAGCCUGCAGCUGUUUUGCUUUACAAAGCUGCUGUGCCAAUGCUGGUAGCUCAACUGGAGCCUCCUCCUGAAGGAGCAGUAGGGGUCCUCAAACUCGGAGGUGGUGCAGAACUGGUUCUGAGGCACGACAAGAUGUUGCAUGAGCAAGACACAACACCUCACAGUUCAGCGUGGAUUUGAAUGCAUGAAUGGCAGUGAGGUCUGACGAUGUACAGGCUGGAGGAUUCCUCCCGUCUAAUUGCGCAGGAUGAUGCCGCAGCUUCGCUACGGCUUCACACUCCAACCCACCUUGAAUCGGUUCCCUCUGGUGCAGCGUUCAGGGCCUCCGCUGAAAACCGGAGGCUGCACUCCUUCUUUUAUGACAUAUAAGUUAGAAACUUGUAGUUUUGUCCGUGGCUCCUUAUUCUUGAUUUAAAAAAAAAUACCCACAGUCAAGCAUUGGCAGUAUUACUUUCUUUUAAAGAAGAAAGAACAUUUUUCAUGGCAUUUAUCAGACUCCACAGGCCAACCACCUGUUGGAUUCCCUUUGUCUUCUGUGAUUGGCUGUAGUUGUGAUAUUGCGUCUGUCCUAUCAAAUGAGGAUGAAGUUAUUUAAUUAAAACCGUGAUGCAACUGUUGGUUUCUAAAAGGAAAUUUUGCCUUACCCAGUCUUUAAUAUAUUUAUAAAACCUUUUCAAAGAUACAAAUUUAGGCUAACAUAACGGGUUUUAUGUGCUUAUUUUUCCAUUCUCUUUGAUGUUUAUUUAUCUAAGCCUGCCUAUUCAUGUUUUUCUGGUUGGCUAUGAU